ensembl:lncRNA
GGGAUCUCAGACUAAUUGGCAUGCCAGAAAAAGAGAAAGAAGACACAAGGGAAAUAGUGAUUGGAAUCCUUACUCGGGUAAUUCCGCUGUCUGUGGAGAAACUUCGGGGUUCGGUGGACACAGUGCAUCGUUUAGGAAAGAGGAACGACGCCGCUACUAACAGGUUACCCAGGCCGGUGAUCAUCAAGUUCGCAAUGCGGACUGUUUGUGGCGAAGUGUGGAAAAGAUCGAGAGAGGCAAGAGUAUGUAAAGAGAUGAACAUCCAGUUCAAAUAAGAUUUUUCAAAGGAAGAUCGCGAAGCUCGUGCUAAGUUGUGGCCGAGAGUGCAAGAAGCCAGGAAAAAGGGGAAAAGAGCAUUCCUAAAAGAAGGCUAUGCACUCAUUGAUGGACUGAGAGUUGACCCAUAGCUGUUGAUCAUGAAUUAUCCAGAAAACCUAUUAGAUCCUCCUCCUGCUUCCCUUCUCCACUAUGCCUUUCCCCUGACCCCUCCCAACUACUCCGUCGGCACACCAGCUGAUGGACAUUAGUUGAUGGAUCUGGGGACUGCUUUUCGAGGAGCGGGUUGCCAUGGAAACAGACGUCAUCACCCUCCCAACUCUCCACCCCUUCACCAACUUGAUCGGCAGUCCCUGAGAGACAAAACAGCUAUCUUAACCCUUCUGAUGCAGAGCACACAAAUGCGUGUAACACACUCAUGCAAAUGCUUUAAUUCCUUCAUAAGCACAUACAAACCCAAAUAAUCUGUCCUGACCCUCAUUUACUACGGAUUAUUCAAAAUAAUUUACACACACUCACUCCUACACAUGUACAGUAUACACAGAAAAACUCUGGGAUGUUAUAAUAAGAACAAACAACAAAUAAAUGUACAGAAUGAUGAGCCAGGAGAAGUAUGUGAAAAAGUUAGUUUAUCGGAGUAGCAUUGUCAAUGUGGACGCUUUCCCAGAUUGUAAUGUUUCUCUUUUUAAUGUUAUUUUCUAUGUAAAAAAAAUAGAUUUAAAAAUGAAACAUAAAAUAAAUGUUUAAUAGACUCACUACCAUUGCUGCAAACAAACUGGAAAAACUAUUUCAGACAGGAAAGAGUUAUAGGCAGUCUGGUGUCAGUGGGUGUGGGUCAUGGUCUGACAGUAUCUGGGGUUGUGGGAAGAGUAGGGGGUAAUCCAAAUGAAUGAUCUAUUCUGUUGUAGAGAUGAAAUUCAUUUCUUACGUAAAAAAGAAAUCUAGUCUAGUUGUGUCACUGUUUAGAUAUACCAGUAAGGCCAGGUAUUUACAAAUGUUUGCUUUUCCCUUUUCUUUCGCUGUGUUUUUUGUUUAUAGUCAUUUGUUUAUGAUUCUGAAUGUUUGAUUUGACCUGAGUACAUUUUCAUGGUACAAAUAUUAUUGUAUUCGACCUGUUUUAUCCCUUUUCCGCAGAGCACUUCGUUUCAGUUGUCAUGUAUAUUUAGUCUCAAAUACCAGCAGUAAGGGUGUGAGGAGAAAAAGUGUGAAAUGCAAUUGUGGAUAUUUUUGUAUUUUCCAUCAUUUGGUCAUAUUUGUUUUGCUUUUUCUGCUCCGUUUCCUAAUUUGAUAUUAUAACGUUAAUAUUUAUAUGAAAAAAAGCUGUUAGAUCAGUUGAAUGUUAUUUUUUUUUCUUUAUUCAUGUUUGUAAAUGUGGCAGCGUGCUUUCGUUUAGUCAAAGAAAAAAAUUACUUUCAUUUGUCUGACUUUGACCAGCAUUUUGUAAACUUCAAUGAACAACAUCUUACGGUUUGAAGGGG